CUCCCCAGUUAAGUGGGCUUGAUUGUGGGGAAAACUCCAUAGUUAAGCGCGCUUGAGCCAGAGGCGUCUUGGGAUGGGUGACCACCUGGGAAGUCCUGGUUAUCGGGUGC
rfam:Picea glauca, whole genome shotgun sequence.